UGGGGCGUCGCCAAGCGGUAAGGCACCGGUUUUUGGUAUCGGCAUCCGGAGGUUCGAAUCCUCCCGCCCCAGCCA
rnacentral:tRNA from 1 species